GUUUGAUCCUGGCUCAGAUUGAACGCUGGCGGCAUGCCUUACACAUGCAAGUCGAACGGCAGCACGGGGCAACCUGGUGGCGAGUGGCGAACGGGUGAGUAAUGCAUCGGAACGUGCCAUUGAGUGGGGGAUAACGUAGCGAAAGUUGCGCUAAUACCGCAUAUUCUGUGAGCAGGAAAGCAGGGGACCGCAAGGCCUUGCGCUCUUUGAGCGGCCGAUGUCAGAUUAGCUAGUUGGUGAGGUAACGGCUUACCAAGGCGACGAUCUGUAGCGGGUCUGAGAGGAUGAUCCGCCACACUGGAACUGAGACACGGUCCAGACUCCUACGGGAGGCAGCAGUGGGGAAUUUUGGACAAUGGGCGCAAGCCUGAUCCAGCCAUGCCGCGUGAGUGAAGAAGGCCU
rnacentral:rRNA from 1 species